rnacentral:lncRNA from 12 species
UCAAGCAUUCUACUUCCCCAUAUCUUUCCUGAUAAACAGAAAGCUUAUAAUAGAGAAGAAAUGCAUGUCUGUGCCUUUUGCAGACACUGCUGGGACAGAAAGGGACCAGGGCUGCCUUUCAAUCUGUUUGCUUCCAAACUGAGAUACCCACAGUGUCCCUGGCAAUCUGGCUCAAGGAAGAGGGACCCUCUGCUGGCUCUGUGUUGAGGUUGCGUUGUCCGCCACUCACUCCUGGCCAGCAUCGAGAGCCCUGAUUUGUGGGCUCUGGUCAUCAUCACUCUCCUUUAAAAAAAAAAUUAAGAUUUUAUUUAUUUAUUUGAGAGAGAGAGAGAGAGAGAGAGAGCACACGAGGAGAGGGAGGGGGAAGUGGGUCAUGGGAAGAAGCAGGCUCCCCGCUGAGCAGGGAUCCCAAUGCAGGAUGAGAUCCCAGGACCCUGACUGAGAUCAUGACCUGAGCUGAAGGCAGAUGCUUAACCAGCUGAGCCACUCAGGUGCCCCACUGGUCAUCACCCUCCUUUCUGUGGCCUAAGAUGAUGUCAUCAGUUCUCAGUAACAGAACUGCUAUCUCCCUUGCUGUCUUGGAUGUUUUCAGCUUCACAGCCAGUGGCUCCCAGAUGCCCAGUGCUUCUGUGUCCAGCAGGGUACCUGUCUCACCAUUUACGCCCCAAGUCCCACAUUUCUCCUGGGUGUGCUUGGCCUGAAGGCAGAUGUAACAGCUGGAGCAUGGAUAUGGUCCAUCAAAACAAGAAGGAGGAAGAUACAGACUCCAGAAAAAGGCAUCAAGCCUGGAGGAAAACAAAAGACACUUUAAGGAUCCAAGCAGAGGCAGUCCUUAGAUAAAGGCCUUCCUGGAGAGAUAAAAAGAAGCCAGUCUAAAUAUCAAGAUCAUGGGAGUUUCAGAAGAGAUAUCUUUAAACAAACAGGACUAAUAGUGUAAAUGAUGUGAUUGAUUGACCAUGUGUAACAUUUCAUUUGAGAGCUUUAAGACUUUAGGAAGAUGGGACACCUGGGUGGCUCAAUGGUUGAACAUCUGCCUUCAGCUCAGGGCAUGGUCCCAGGGUCCUGGGAUCGAGUUUUCUAUCGGGUGCCCUGUAGGGAACCUGCUUCUCCCUUUGCCUGUGUCUCUGCCUUUGUGUGUGUGUGUCUCUCAUGAAUUAAUAAAUAAAAUCUUUAAAAAAAAGACCUUAGGAAG